rnacentral:rRNA from 1 species
UGGUGGAGUGAUUUGUCUGGUUAAUUCCGAUAACGAACGAGACCUUAACCUGCUAAAUAGCUAGGCUUAACAUUGUUAGGUCGCCAGCUUCUUAGAGGGACUAUCGGUGUUUAACCGAUGGAAGUUUGAGGCAAUAACA